rnacentral:rRNA from 1 species
GAUGAACGCUGGCGGCGUGCCUAAUACAUGCAAGUCGAGCGAACAGACGAGGAGCUUGCUCCUCUGACGUUAGCGGCGGACGGGUGAGUAACACGUGGAUAACCUACCUAUAAGACUGGGAUAACUUCGGGAAACCGGAGCUAAUACCGGAUAAUAUAUUGAACCGCAUGGUUCAAUAGUGAAAGACGGUUUUGCUGUCACUUAUAGAUGGAUCCGCGCCGCAUUAGCUAGUUGGUAAGGUAACGGCUUACCAAGGCAACGAUGCGUAGCCGACCUGAGAGGGGGAUCGGCCACACUGGAACGUAGACACGGUCCAGGCUCCUACGGGAGGCAGCAGUAGGGAAUCUUCCGCAAUGGGCGAAAACCUGACGGAGCAACGGCGCGUGAGUUAUGGAGGUCUUCGGAUCGUAAAACUCUGUUAUUAGGGAAGAACAAAUGUGUAAGGAACUAUGCACGGCUUGACGGUACCUAAUCAGAAAGCCACGGCUAACUACGUG